UUGAUCUCAGAGUCCUGUUUUACAUAGAAAAUGUGCAAUUGUUGGAUUCUGAGUCACUCGGUCAAUUAAAUGCAUUGUUGUAUAGCGCCAUUCACAAUUGAAACUAUAACAGAGCUGCCACAGAUUAUGGUAUCAUGCCCGUAAUGAUCCUGCGCUACUGGGCGAUUUCUGCGCAUGCAAAAGUAUCAAUCAUAUUUUUUCCCCAUGGGGAAUGUAAUGUAUGAAGCCAUGAUAAAGAUUCCUUUGUAAAAAUGAAUCUAAACACAAAACUUAAUUGCAUAAUUAAAUUAAAAUAUUUUCCGAAUUUCGUGGAAAGGCUGACGUUCAACUUGCUUAUAAGAAUGAUUUAAUGAAGAAUGAUGGAAUUCCAACACUUCGAUCUUUAUCACUGGCAGAAAGCAGAACGGUCUAUUACCCUGGCAGGCGAGGCUCUACCACAUCAGACUCAGGUGAACCUGGAGCAAGUAUCUAACACCCUGGUAAACAUGUGUCGAGUACAUCGAAUGUGCUAAACAAUGUUUCACGGACUGGAUCCUUUUCAUUCAGACUGAAAAUUAUCAAGACAGAACAGCUCAUGGUUCAGAAUUACAUCCUGACCAAACCAGUGCCACUGUUGGUCAGUAGUCAUCUGGAUUAAAGGAUAUUCAAAUUCAGCACCAUACGGGUACUGAAGGUUCGAGUCAACUGUUUAGUAGUGACUCACUCCUCUGGUCUAUUGGGAAUCUGAAGUCUGUUAGUUCAGAACCAGCUGCAGAAGAACUACAUCCCCCAGCGUGCUGACUGCAGAGCUCUGCUGUUGGACUGAAGCCUGAAAAGAUGGCGUGUCUGCAUGCUCUUUGAUGGACACAUGCUGCGCCCUCCGAAAUGUCAAAGAAUGUGUUAAAUACCAAUGCUAUUUGGUAAUCCAAACUGGGAGGAAAGUUAAAAAAAUUAUGGAUAAAAGUGCAUUUUCUUGCAUUAGCCUACUUGUCUCCCAAGCCAGUGUCAGAUUGUUACAGCUUGUCUCCACAAUUAGUCGAGGCAAAUGAGGUUUGACAAGGGUAAUGGCACUUCAACCUCACUAAAAAAUCUUUUACUACAGUAUAGUUCAAAUUUUUAAAAAUCAACACACCAAACUGUCACACGAAAUUAGGCAGAUAACUUUUAAUAUGAGUACAUGAACAUUAUUGGCUGAUGGCACCUACCCACUUUUGCCAUGACCAAUUAGAUUAUAACUUCAGCUGCUACCCACACAGAAAGACGGAAGCACUUACUAAGUUCACACCAAAGGCAAAUGCACACCUGGAUGGCUGCACAGGACUGAAGGAAGUAUAUUUUCAAGUGUAUGCUGAAUGGACAAUAAAGAUUUCUAGUCUAUUCACCCAUUCGGUUUCAAAAACCCAAAUACAAAAGAACAGACCUCAGGCAGCAUUACAGCAAGAUAGAAUUGGCGGAUUUGCCCUCAAGAGGUGCUUCUGCGAACAAUUAGCCACUUCAAAGAGGGCUGUAGUUUAUUAACACAGAUUAAAAUGCACUCUUAUUUACUAAUUUGAUUUUAAUGUACACUUAUUGCCUGAAUUUUAAAAAAAGUAUUUUAAAUUACUAUUUAUUCCAGGCAUUUAAAUAAACAAAACUACUAACAAUUUGCAGAUAAGGAUUAAAGUUAAUAAGUGUACAUGAAUGGGUUACUAUUAGGCACACCUAUCUAGAAUUGGGCAGGGCCCUCUUUUGCUUCCAGAACAACCUGAAUUCUUUGCGGCAUGGACUCAACACGUGCUGGAAACAUUGCCUCGUGAUUCUGGUCCAUCCUGACUCGAAAGCACCAUUCAGUUCGUACAGAUUUUUCAGCCAACACUUGCAUGCAGUGAACUCCCCCAUUCCACCUCAUCUCAAAGGUGCUCCACUGGAUUAUCAUCGUGUUCGUGGAACCAGCUUGAAAUGCUGGAUAUAAAGUAUACGUUCAAAAAAGGGUUGACUGGCCAUAAAGGGCUGUACAUCAUCAGCAACAAUGCUUAGGCAUGCCGUGGAGUUCAAAUCAUGCUCAGUUGGUAUUGAGGGGCCUGAUGGGUGCAAAGAAAACAAUCCCCACACCAUUACACCACUAACCACAGGCACGGUCACAAGGCAGAAGGGAUCCAUGGAUUUAGGCUGUUUACACCAAAUUCUGACUCAACCAUUUGCAUGCCACAGCAGAAUUUGAGAUUUGUCAGACCAGGCGACGUUUUUUCCAAUCUUUAAUUGCUACUGUUGGCCACCUGCUUCAAGGUUUGUGGGUUCAGUUCUGCACACUGUUAUAAACAAGUGUUAUUUGAACAUUUGUGGCCUUUCUGUUAGCUUGAACAAGUCUGCCCAUUCUCCUCUGAUCUCUCUUAUUAACAAGAUGUUUUCAGACACAUAACUGCCACUUGCUGAGUGUUUCUUGCUUAUCGUACCAUUCUCUGUAAACAUUAGAAAGCAUAGUGCAUGACAAUUCCAGGAGGGUAACUGUCUCUGAGAUGCAGGAACCAAAACAUCUGGCACCAACAAUCAAACUACGG